UGAUCAAAGCCCAAACAAACAAUCAAACAAACCCAAAAAGUUGGAUGAUGGGGAGAUGGUGGGUUGAUAGGGGUGUUUGAUAGAAACAGCCUCAAAAGUUAAGGAUAUACCAAAAUAAACCUCAUACAUCUACUGAAGUUAUAUGCUUAGUAUUCUUUAUAUGUUCAUUUGUUCAUUUUUCUACAAAGAGUAAUGCAUGCUGUAUCAAGAACUUCCAAAAUAAAAUGAUUUUGGCAGUGUCAUAUGGAAUAGAGCCAUAGAGAUGCACUCACAUUAAAGCAAUAUCACUCUAAGGAGGUAUUUCAAGAACACACAUAAAGAUUACUUUUUAAAGCAGACAGUUCAUUAAAUAAAGUUAGUGUUUCUUAAAUAUUGCUCUAAUAAAUCAAUAUAAUAUAUAGAGAGCAAGAGUUGUCAGAUGUUUGAACUAAAUUCCUGCCUCUUUUCACUUGUUCACCUGGAUGGGAAGAAAUUAAAAUAGUUUUGCAAGAAGAGAACUAAAAUUCAAACUAUGUUGAGAUAGAAGACUAAUAAAAUAAUUCCUUUGGUAACAUAAACAGAUACUGUCCAUUUCCCAGGCCAAACAACUUUAACUUGCAAAUGUAAUGGAGACAGUCAAGAAAUAUGUAGUGGAUUUUGACUGUGUGCCAGGCACUGUGCUAAGCAUCAGGAAAAUAUCAGGUGGUCAAAAAGGCAGACAUUUCAUUAUCAGGUAGUAGGCAUUUAUAACACCUGGGAAAGAAAAAAAAAAUAGCAGAAACACAAACUGAAUAAAUGGUAUAUGUGGGGGAAUGUGGUAGAUAAAAAACAGAGCAUAUGUAAAUACUACUAGAUUCCGAGAGGUCAUAAUUUAUCACUGUUUUUCUUCCCCUGUUAGUUACUAACAAACUGAAAAUAGGAACAGAAUUAAGCAGAUGGAGAAAAAAAAAAAAAGCAAAAAACUUUAGUUCUAUUACUGCUAAAACUCGUUUGGAGGACAUGACCUCUACAUGUGACCACAAUCUGGCUUCCUAACACUUGUUCUCUGAGAUAAACUUAUUUAUCCCAAGCUAUAGGCUUGCCCUGGUAGGAUUUCUGUAGGAUUUGAAAACACAGCAGAAUGUACUAUUCUUCCCAGCUAGAGGUUUAGCCACACUUGCCCAGUUCCUUAUCACUAGCUUAUCAGUUUUAUCCUGCCUGUCCUGUCUCGGUGAGGGUGUAUGAGGGGGUUGAGAAGAAAGUUAAGCUGAUCUUUUCAAGACAUAACUUUUCUGAGGACUGGAAUGGGAGUUCCUUUUCUCUGGAAAUGUGAACAGGGUUGCUUUAGGCUUCUCUCUGCGAGGUACAUCUAGGAAAAACGUGGAUAACAUGGGCCAGAGAUACAUGAGCCAAAUUAGAAAAGAAAUAAAUUUGAAGGUAUUCAGCAAGGACUUACUGGUCGAAGAGGCACUUCAAAAACCUUGGCUUAAGUUUGAUCCAUGAAUGCAAGAUAAACGAUCAUCUCAACAAGCAGAAAUUCCCCAAAUAAUUAAAACUGUCACUUCAAAGAAGAAUCAUCAUUGUGACAAUGGAAGAUGUAAGAGGGUGUCCAUAGUACAGGGUAAAUGCUGAGGUUGCCCAGUGGUUUUCUUCUGGAUAGAAAAUACAGCAUCUGCUGUCACAGGGUGGAGAAUGUAAAUACAGACAGACAAGAGUUAAAGGGGUGGAGAAGGAUCUAUCUGAUACCCAGUGACCAUAAUAAUAAUGUAACCUGCCACCAGGAUAUUGAAAGCCCCAUACAAGCAGCAGUUGGAGGAAAGUCAAUGCUGAGGUAAAUUAUGUACAGUGGUCUAAGUCUGUGUACAAGCCCUAGAGCACAAAGUCUGAACACAGGAGUGUGGAAAACAACCAUUUGGCUUUGGAGCAUAAAAAUAAAGAUCCCCAACUGUGUCUAUGCUACUGAUGACAAAUGAGUAUUUAGGUGUACAUUUUUAUUUCUCUGAUUUAUUUUAUCAUUUCCCUGUUGCAGAAGCGAGUUUGUGAGGCACUGUAAAAAUGAAAAUAAAAUCUUAAAAUAAAAUCUUAGCAGUAUGUAGGAAGUCAUAUUUUCCUACAAAUGGGAGGAAACAUUCUAAAAAUAAUCCCCCAAGAUGCCCAUCUUAUGGUUAUUCAUUCAAACCCAAGUCUAUGUACUACUUGGAAGAGAUUUUGUAGAUGAAAGUCAGAAUAUGUAUCAGCUGAUCUUAAACAGGAAGAUUAUCCUGGAUCUAAUGUAAUCAUAUCAACCUUUAAAAGCAGAAGACGAUGGAAGUGUUGGUUAGAAAGAUGCAACAUGAAAAAAGAGACAGGAUUCCCGUCAUGGCUCAGUGGUUAACAAAUCUGACUAGGAACCAUGAGGUUGUGGGUUUGAUCCCUGGCCUCGCUCAGUGUGUUGGGGAAUCUGUCAUUACCAUGUGUGAGCUGUGGUGCAGGUUUGCAAAUGUGGCUCAGAUCUCGCGUUGCCGUGGCUCUGGCAUAGGCUGGCAGCUACAGCUCCGCUUGGACCCCUAGCCUGGGAACCUCCAUAUGGUGCAGGUGUGGCCCUAGAAAAGACAAAAAGACGGAAAAAAAAAAAA
ensembl:lncRNA